UACGUAGGGGGCAAGCGUUAUCCGGAUUUAUUGGGUUUAAAGGGUGCGUAGGCGGGCAUUUAAGCCGGCGGUCAAAUGUCGGGGCUCAACCCCGGCCUGCCGUCGGAACUGGGUGCCUUGAGUGGGCGAGAAGUAUGCGGAAUGCGUGGUGUAGCGGUGAAAUGCAUAGAUAUCACGCAGAACCCCGAUUGCGAAGGCAGCAUACCGGUGCACAACUGACGCUCAGGCACGAAAGCGUGGGUAUCGAACAGG
rnacentral:rRNA from 1 species